rnacentral:rRNA from 1 species
UACGGGGGGAGCAAGCGUUGUUCGGAUUUACUGGGCGUAAAGGGCUCGUAGGCGGCCAACUAAGUCAGACGUGAAAUCCCUCGGCUUAACCGGGGAACUGCGUCUGAUACUGGAUGGCUUGAGUUUGGGAGAGGGAUGCGGAAUUCCAGGUGUAGCGGUGAAAUGCGUAGAUAUCGUAAGGAAGACCAGUGGCGAAGGCGGGUCUCUGGACAGUUCCUGACGCUGAGGCACGAAGGUCAGGGGAGCAAACGGG